rnacentral:ncRNA from 1 species
CCGCCACAACGGCUUCCUGAAGUGGUGGAUUUAUUUGUACUGGAGCA